rnacentral:tRNA from 1 species
AGGACUGUAGUUAACUAUAACAUUUGGUUUGCAUCCAAAAGGUGUUGGAUCCCCGACCAGUCUUA